CGAAGGGAAGCGGAGCGGAGCGGAGCGGGCGAAGUCUCGCGAGACCUGCCGGCGUUCCCGCGCGGCCGUUGGGCCCUUAGGGCGGCAACGAAGCCUCCAGGCUUUGGGAUGCCGUGGGCGGGCGCCUCUCGGCCCGGUGCUCUCGUGGUUACUAGCGUUUCACGGACAACAGAUGGAAGUGCUGCUGUGCAGGACUUAUUGUCAGCAUCCCAGCCAGAAAUACAAGACAGCAACUAGCUUUUGGCAGGUGCCAUAAAAGCAGCCCUUGAGACCAAGCGAAAGAUUCCUCAGAUACUGCACUGCUAAGGAUUCAUCCUUUCUGAUCUUCUACUGUGCCACUCACCUGACAGCGAACAAGGAACUGCCUCAGUUGGCACCAUGGACAGAGGCCCCCUCUAUGUGUGGCUAUAGUUGUAGACUGUCCCUUCCUGACAAGUCUUACCUGUGUGUAUAACUGAGAGAUUUAGGUAAUUUAAUUAGAUUAACUGAAUUAGUUGCAUUGGUAGAUUUUGAGGGUGGAUAAUUCUUCCCCCAAAACUGGGCAAAAUCAAUGUUUCAUCUCCUGUGAAGUAUUUUUAGUUCGAGGAUAUUUCAAAUUGACAACUGGUAGCUUAAAUAGUCUGAAGUAUUAUUCCCUAACACAUAAUGUGAGAAUAACAGUAAAUACUAUUGUGAACCAGUAGUGCAGCUGUAAGAUGACAUUGGCAAACUUUGCUUUUUGUUAUUAGUCCUCUGCCCUCUAAAAUAUACUUACAGCCCCCUGCUAUGUAUCACCAUUGCUACACCGAAUAAAC
rnacentral:lncRNA from 1 species